AGUGAACGCUGGCGGUAGGCCUAACACAUGCAGGUCGAACGGCAGCACAGUAAGAGCUUGCUCUUACGGGUGGCGAGUGGCGGACGGGUGAGGAAUACAUCGGAAUCUACUUUUUCGUGGGGGAUAACGUAGGGAAACUUACGCUAAUACCGCAUACGACCUACGGGUGAAAGCAGGGGAUCUUCGGACCUUGCGCGAUUGAAUGAGCCGAUGUCGGAUUAGCUAGUUGGCGGGGUAAAGGCCCACCAAGGCGACGAUCCGUAGCUGGUCUGAGAGGAUGAGCAGCCACACUGGAACUGAGACACGGUCCAGACUCCUACGGGAGGCAGCAGUGGGGAAUAUUGGACAAUGGGCGCAAGCCUGAUCCAGCCAUACCGCGUGGGUGAAGAAGGCCUUCGGGUUGUAAAGCCCUUUUGUUGGGAAAGAAAAGCAGCAGGUUAAUACCCCGCUGUUCUGACGGUACCCAAAGAAUAAGCACCGGCUAACUUCGUG
rnacentral:rRNA from 1 species